rnacentral:rRNA from 1 species
ACCAAAUGGGAUUCUUCAAGUAAUGGCGAAUGAACCUAGAUAUGCUCAAUUUGAAAAAUACAGUGAUACUGUUUGACAUGUAAUUUCAAAAUGUACAACCAAUUGGCAUGCAAGUGGAAGCUCAUUGAAAGAAUGCGUCGAAGAAGGUGAAAAUCCAUUUUGCCACUUGUAAUGUUGUUGUUUAUGGUGUAUAUUUCAGGAGUCACAUUCCUUGGCAUUGGAAUGCAAUGUGGGUGGUAAACUUCAUGCAAAGAUUAAUAUGUGUUUGAGAUUGAUAGUACACAAAUACCGUGAGGGAAAUAUGAAAAGGACUUUGAAAAGAGAUUUAAAAGAGUUUGCAGUUGCUGAACAAAAAACAAAUAGGAUGUCCACGAUUGAGCAGAUUGUUGAACCUCGGUUUGCUUCAAUUGCUAGCAUGUGUGUAUUCAAUGAUUCUAUCUUUGUCUACCAUACCAUUCUCAGCGUAUCAUGACACUUGCAGGUGCUUCGUGUUUUUGCUUGCGAGCUAAUGACAACACCUGCUUGAGAAUGGUAUGCCAAGUGUUCAUUGUGCUUAGAGUCUGCAUGGUGCUAUUGUUAAGCUGCAGGUUUGAACUUGUGCUUUGAGCUGUGCUCUACCUUUUGCAUAUGUCUAUUGGUGAUCAUAUCCUGCUUGACCCGUCUUGAAC